GGGUCACGGAUUUAGAUGUUAAAAAUAUUAGUCUUCUAUGUAAAUGGCUUUGGAAGCUUGAAAAUAGUGAAGGUGAUUGGCAUAGCAUUCUUAGAUCAAAAUAUUUGAAGAAAGGUUUACUGGCUGUUUGCAAGCCAAGAAGUGGGCAAUCACACUUCUGGCAAUGACUAGUUGUGAAGAAUAUUUUUAUGAAUUGCUGU
rnacentral:lncRNA from 1 species